rnacentral:rRNA from 1 species
UACGGAGGAUGCAAGCGUUAUCCGGAAUGAUUGGGCGUAAAGCGUCCGCAGGUGGCUAUGUAAGUCUGCUGUUAAAGAGUGAGGCUCAACCUCAUAAGAGCAGUGGAAACUACAUGGCUAGAGUGCGUUCGGGGCAGAGGGAAUUCCUGGUGUAGCGGUGAAAUGCGUAGAGAUCAGGAAGAACACCGGUGGCGAAAGCGCUCUGCUAGGCCGCAACUGACACUGAGGGACGAAAGCUAGGGGAGCAAACAGG